UUCGUUUUAUUAAAAAGAGUUGAAAAGCUGACAGUGAAUUGUAAGAAGUCUGACCUUGUGGGAACUUUUAUUUUAAACAAGGAGACCCUAAUGGACAGAAUCAAGAAGCAGCUGCGCGAGUGGGACGGAAACCUGCGGGACGCCUCGCUCCCUUCCAGUCCGAUAGAUUUUUCUUACAGAGUAGCCGCUUGUCUUCCCAUUGACGAUGCAUUAA